UUAAGCGACCAAGCGUACACGGUGGAUGCCCUGGCAGUCAGAGGCGAUGAAGGACGUGCUAAUCUGCGAAAAGCGCCGGUAAGGUGAUAUGAACCGUUAUAGCCGGCGAUGUCCGAAUGGGGAAACCCAGUGUGACUCGUCACACUAUCAUUAACUGAAUCCAUAGGUUAAUGAGGCGAACCGGGGGAACUGAAACAUCUAAGUACCCCGAGGAAAAGAAAUCAACCGAGAUUCCCCCAGUAGCGGCGAGCGAACGGGGAGGAGCCCAGAGCCUGAAUCAGCAUGUGUGUUAGUGGAAGCGUCUGGAAAGGCGCGCGAUACAGGGUGACAGCCCCGUACACAAAAGCGCACGUGCUGUGAGCUCGAUGAGUAGGGCGGGACACGUGGUAUCCUGUCUGAAUAUGGGGGGACCAUCCUCCAAGGCUAAAUACUCCUGACUGACCGAUAGUGAACCAGUACCGUGAGGGAAAGGCGAAAAGAACCCCGGCGAGGGGAGUGAAACAGAACCUGAAACCGUGUACGUACAAGCAGUGGGAGCCCCACCACUAAGCCAGUGGUGAACUCCACAUACGCAUCCUUUGCUGAGGAUACGGUUAACGGAGCGAGAGCGACGUUUAACCGCAAAAGAAGCAGAGGGGGCUUAGUGGUGGGGUGACUGCGUACCUUUUGUAUAAUGGGUCAGCGACUUAUAUUCUGUAGCAAGGUUAACCGCAUAGGGGAGCCGGAGGGAAACCGAGUCUUAAUUGGGCGUUAAGUUGCAGGGUAUAGACCCGAAACCCGGUGAUCUAGCCAUGGGCAGGUUGAAGGUUGGGUAACACUAACUGGAGGACCGAACCGACUAAUGUUGAAAAAUUAGCGGAUGACCUGUGGCUGGGGGUGAAAGGCCAAUCAAACCGGGAGAUAGCUGGUUCUCCCCGAAAGCUAUUUAGGUAGCGCCUCGUGAAUUCAUCUCCGGGGGUAGAGCACUGUUUCGGCCAGGGGGCCAUCCCGGCUUACCAAUCCGAUGCAAACUGCGAAUACCGGAGAAUGUUAUCACGGGAGACACACGGCGGGUGCUAACGUCCGUCGUGAAGAGGGAAACAACCCAGACCGCCAGCUAAGGUCCCAAAGUCAUGGUUAAGUGGGAAACGAUGUGGGAAGGCCCAGACAGCCAGGAUGUUGGCUUAGAAGCAGCCAUCAUUUAAAGAAAGCGUAAUAGCUCACUGGUCGAGUCGGCCUGCGCGGAAGAUGUAACGGGGCUAAACCAUGCACCGAAGCUGCGGCAGUGACACUGAUGUGUUGUUGGGUAGGGGAGCGUUCUGUAAGCCGUUGAAGGUGUGUCGUGAGGCAUGCUGGAGGUAUCAGAAGUGCGAAUGCUGACAUAAGUAACGAUAAAGCGGGUGAAAAGCCCGCUCGCCGGAAGACCAAGGGUUCCUGUCCAACGUUAAUCGGGGCAGGGUGAGUCGACCCCUAAGGCGAGGCCGAAAGGCGUAGUCGAUGGGAAACGGGUUAAUAUUCCCGUACUUGGUGUUACUGCGAAGGGGGGACGGAGAAGGCUAUGUUGGCCGGGCGACGGUUGUCCCGGUUUAAGCGUGUAGGUGUGUGUUCCAGGUAAAUCCGGUUCACUUUAACACUGAGGCGUGACGACGAGGCACUACGGUGCUGAAGCAACAAAUGCCCUGCUUCCAGGAAAAGCCUCUAAGCCUCAGGUAACAUCAAAUCGUACCCCAAACCGACACAGGUGGUCAGGUAGAGAAUACCAAGGCGCUUGAGAGAACUCGGGUGAAGGAACUAGGCAAAAUGGUGCCGUAACUUCGGGAGAAGGCACGCUGACACGUAGGUGAAGUGGUUUACCCAUGGAGCUGAAGUCAGUCGAAGAUACCAGCUGGCUGCAACUGUUUAUUAAAAACACAGCACUGUGCAAACACGAAAGUGGACGUAUACGGUGUGACGCCUGCCCGGUGCCGGAAGGUUAAUUGAUGGGGUCAGCGCAAGCGAAGCUCCUGAUCGAAGCCCCGGUAAACGGCGGCCGUAACUAUAACGGUCCUAAGGUAGCGAAAUUCCUUGUCGGGUAAGUUCCGACCUGCACGAAUGGCGUAAUGAUGGCCAGGCUGUCUCCACCCGGGACUCAGUGAAAUUGAACUCGCUGUGAAGAUGCAGUGUACCCGCGGCAAGACGGAAAGACCCCGUGAACCUUUACUAUAGCUUGACACUGAACACUGGUCCUUGAUGUGCAGGAUAGGUGGGAGGCUUUGAAGUGUGGACGCCAGUCUGCAUGGAGCCAUCCUUGAAAUACCACCCUUUAAUGGCUGGUGUUCUAACGUGGGCCCGUGAACCGGGUUGCGGACAGUGUCUGGUGGGUAGUUUGACUGGGGCGGUCUCCUCCUAAAGAGUAACGGAGGAGCACGAAGGUUGGCUAAUCCUGGUCGGACAUCAGGAGGUUAGUGCAAUGGCAUAAGCCAGCUUGACUGCGAGCGUGACGGCGCGAGCAGGUGCGAAAGCAGGUCAUAGUGAUCCGGUGGUUCUGAAUGGAAGGGCCAUCGCUCAACGGAUAAAAGGUACUCCGGGGAUAACAGGCUGAUACCGCCCAAGAGUUCAUAUCGACGGCGGUGUUUGGCACCUCGAUGUCGGCUCAUCACAUCCUGGGGCUGAAGUAGGUCCCAAGGGUAUGGCUGUUCGCCAUUUAAAGUGGUACGCGAGCUGGGUUUAGAACGUCGUGAGACAGUUCGGUCCCUAUCUGCCGUGGGCGCUGGAAGAUUGAGGGGGGCUGCUCCUAGUACGAGAGGACCGGAGUGGACGCAUCACUGGUGUUCGGGUUGUCAUGCCAAUGGCACUGCCCGGUAGCUACAUGCGGAAGAGAUAAGUGCUGAAAGCAUCUAAGCACGAAACUUGCCCCGAGAUGAAUCUUCCCUGAGCCUUUAAGGCUCCUGAAGGAACGUUGAAGACGACGACGUUGAUAGGCCGGGUGUGUAAGCGCAGCGAUGCGUUGAGCUAACCGGUACUAAUGAACCGUGAGGCUUAACCUU
rnacentral:rRNA from 1 species